CUGCCGGUGCCCUGCCCACUGUUUUGUUCUGCUGCCAUGAUGUACUGCUAAUUUAGCUACCACUGCUACUUCUGCUAUGUAGCAUUUUAAUAAACAAGCUAACUAUCCAAGUCUGAUCAUGUCGCCUCAGGACACUUUGUGGAGGAAUGAUCUGUUGAUAUGAUCACCUGUUGGCCUCAAGCACACCCAGAAGACAGAGUUACCAGUGGCCAUGUUUGCAGAUUAGAUUCUUCCCAAAGGAAUUACUCUCUGGCUGAAACUUCUUCACUGCAUCAAGAUUCGGAGUUAAUUGUCAAGCAACACCAGCAAACUUUCUCCACAGUCAUCUCAGCCGCUGUGGCUCAUCACUUUGCAGUCAGAAUCAGCUGUUUGAGAAAGACCUUGGCGUCAGAGACAAAAGGAGUCUGUGCUGCCAUUCACUCAGAUGGAUGAGACUUGAAUGAAGCUGAAAAUGAGUGAAGCCUGGAGUCUAAAUCUGUAAUACGUACUUUGUGCAGCUCAUUGAUGAGGUGCAGCAAUGAAAUGCUUCCUCUAUAAUGUGUCUGACAGCGCUGCCUGUUUGUGAUAUCCAGAGCCAGGAGUUUUCCCAAUUGAAAAACUUUCCAGUCCCAAUUAAAGUCUCAAGUGACUUUGGGGAUCUACAGCCUUUCCUUUUCAAGGUCCUCUGGGCGCUGGUUUGAUUUUGAGUAGUUCAACAUCAGUUUUUAUCGAAUUGAGAAAGCACUUUGUUAGCUGUGUCCAAGCAAGAGCCCUCUUCACUAAUGUGUUUUGUGGUAAGAGGCACUCUACCAAGAUGGUGCAUUGUGUGUGUGUGUGUAGUUGUUUUGGUCAGUAUUUGUGUGAUUUUUAUUUAUUUAUUUAUUUUUUCUACGUCUGUGUGGAGUUUCAGGCUGUGUAACAGAGGCAGGACAUUAGAGAGCAGCCAAGAGGCCUGGGUUUUCCUGGCACACAAUAGCAGGAAGUGCUGCCACACUAUAAAUGGAAGCUGGAAUAGUGGCAAAACUCAGUCAGCAAGACAUUUCUGCCACCAGCCAAUAGGAUUUAUGUGCUUGCUUGACUCUUUUUCCAACUUACAAACUGUGAUAAUGAAACUAAAUAGAAAAGAGUACCAGGAAAGUUGUAUAUUCAGGCCAGGCUGAGUAAUUCUUCAACCCAUUUGAAAGCUGAUACUGACAGUGAUAGUUUAAGAUUAAAGGUGCCAAAGUGUAUAUGUGCCCAAAUUCUUUAUAAUUGUGACCACUUUCUGCCAUUAACUUUAAAAAAUUUUUUUUUUUACUGGGAUUCAUUGUUUCAUCCAGAAUUGUAUUCUUGGGAAAGUGGAAAUGGAUGGAAACUCUGAAACCCGAACUAAUGAAAUUGUUCUGGGUGGGCUAACAACUUCUAAAGGCAGGGCUUCAUUGUCUGCCGUACAAACGAGAAAACUGGCAAUUACAGUAACAAUACAAAAUAUUGAAUUUACUAUAAUGUGAGAUCAAAAAUCAGCAAAUUAAUCGGGUUAGUCAAAUGUUUGGCCCAAUCCCAAUGUCCCCCCUAAGUC